UUUGUUUUAUAACAAUACAGUUGGGUGUUUCAGUUUGUACGCACCUUGUAAUUAGUACUCAUGUCGAGAAUAAAGGUACCUUGGAAAAGUAAGCGGAAUUAAAAAUAGGAAUGUUUGUCAAAGUGAAGAAUGAUUAUCAAUGUAUUUUGACAGCAUUAGAUACUCAAUCUUUCUUAUGCUUGUCUAGUGAAAAAUAAAAAGAAGACGAAGAGAGAGAAUGUUAUGAGCUAUGAUUAAGUAUCUGGAGGUGUGAGAACUUCAAUUCUUUCUUUAAUUCCUACUAGAUAUAUUAUUAAGUCCGUCUUAGAAAAUUAAGUAAGAAGUCAAGAUAAAAAAUAUGGGUAAGGAUGAGAGAGCCAUAUCCUCCACAGGAAUAAGUCAAAAUAUAUUAGUUCCUCCAUGUUUAAAAAAAAGAGAGAGAGAGAGAGAGAGUGUGUGUGUGUGUGUGUGUGUGUGUGUGUGAGAGAGAGAGAGAUUUACAUAGAAAAUCAGACCACACAGACCCCAUGGUCCAGACUAGGUGGUCUGUCCUUAAACUUAAAUGAUUCUACAUUAAUCAGAAGGCUCCAAAACGAAGAAAGUAACAUUGAAUUGAAUUGAAAUAUUUAUUGUUGUAAAAUAUAACAAAGGGGAAUGGCUGGGCUUGCAGACAAAGCCCUGACUAUAUAGGCUAGUUGCAAAAAAUAAAAAUCUCCAUUGUACAAAAAUAAAACAUGUUGAGGUUAGUUAAAAGAAAUUAGAAUGUAAAUACUGAUAAUAUUCCUGAGGAGGUACACAUGCAAUUACCACCAUGCACAUGAGUCUAAACACUAUCACCAGUAAACAUAAUUGCAUCAGUAGAAUCAAAAAGCGCCUCCCAUCUAAUACCAUUUUGAGGUCUGAUGGCUACCAAGUUCUUUACAUCUAGCAUUGAAAUCACCCAUGAGUACAGUCUUUUCUUCCAAAAUACGGUCAGGGAGAUGUUGAACAUGGAAAUCACCUGAGUGAAUAUAUGAAUUAGCAAAGAAAAUUUGAUCAUUAGGGGUGUGCAAAGUAACAAUGAAAUUCAACACCUUGACGAGAACCCUUUUCCCACAUACGAUUUACAAGGCCUACAUAGGGGUCAUGGGCCUUUCCUAGGGUAGUUUUAUUUUAUUUUACGUGAAAAAACACUUAUUAGGCGCAUUUGACCUCAUUUCUUGUCCUGUAGACAUAACUGAUAUGAGAAUCGUAGGCGUUUUUCAAGAAUGCUGACCCAGAAAUUAUGAAAAAAGGCAAAAAUUGUGCCCGAUCAGGUAUUUUUGGCCAAAGUGAAUUGAUUUAGGCCAAACGCUUGACAAAAAGCCAAAAUUGAGGUUUCAUUUAGCCUCAAAAAGGUCAACUCGGUGGUUGGCUCUAGAAUAUUCGUGUAUUUUAAAUGUCCUUUAGCUUUACGGUUAUGAGCUAUAUUAUUGUAUUUUUAUAGUCAUUAAUUUAUAGUUCGUCCGUACGUAAGAUCAUUAAUAUACUUGGGGGAGGCACUAUGGUAAAUUUGGCGGGGUCAGUGCAUCGGUUCUUUCCUGGAAUAUUCGUGUAUUUAAAAUGUCCUUCAGCUUUACGGUAAUGAGCUCUAUUAAUGUGUUUUUAUAGUCAUUAAUACAUAGUUCGUCCGUACGUAAGAUCAUUAAUAUAUUUGGGGGAGGCACUAUGGUAAAUUUGGCGGGGUCAGACCGUCGGUUCUUUCCUGGAAUAUUCGUGUAUUUAAAAUGUCCUUCAGCUUUACGGUAAUGAGCUCUAUUAUUGUAUUUUUAUAGUCAUUAAUUCAUAGUUCGUCCGUGCGUAAGAUCAUUAAUACGCUUGGGGGAGGCACUAUGGUAAAUUUGGCGGGGUCAGCGCGUCGGUUCUUUCCUGGAAUAUUCGUGUAUUUAAAAUGUCCUUCAGCUUUACGGUAAUGAGCUCUAUUAUUGUGUCUUUAUAGUCAUUAAUUCAUAGUUCGUCCCUGCGUAAGAUCAUUAAUACGCUUGGGGGAGGCACUAUGGUAAAUUUGGCGGGGUCAGCGCGUCGGUUCUUUCCUGGAAUAUUCGUGUAUUUAAAAUGUCCUUUAGCUUUACGGUAAUGAGCUCUAUUAUUGUGUUUUUAUAGUCAUUAAUUCAUAGUUCGUCCCUGCGUAAGAUCAUUAAUACGCUUGGGGGAGGCACUAUGGUAAAUUUGGCGGGGUCAGCGCGUUGGUUCUUCUCUGAAAUAUUCGUGUAUUUAAAAUGUCCUUCAGCUUUACGGUUUGAGCUCUAUUAUUGUGUUUUUAUAGUCAUUAAUUCAUAGUUCGUCCCUGCGUAAGAUCAUUAAUACGCUUGGGGGAGGCACUAUGGUAAAUUUGGCGGGGUCAGCGCGUCGGUUCUUUCCUGGAAUAUUCGUGUAUUUAAAAUGUCCUUCAGCUUUACGGUAAUGAGCUCUAUUAUUGUGUUUUUAUAGUCAUUAAUUCAUAGUUCGUCCCUGCGUAAGACCAUUAAUAAGCGUGGUUGAGAUACAAAGUUUGGCGGGGGUGCGAGUUGGCGCCAUUCCCGGUUGGUUCUUCUCUGGAAUAUUCGUGUAUUUCAAGUGUCCUUUAGCUUUACGGUUAUGAGCUAUAUUAUUGUGUUUUUAUAGUCAUUAAUUCAUAGUUCGUCCCUGCGUAAGAUCAUUAAUACACUUGGGGGAGACACUAUGGUAAAUUUGGCGGGGUCAGCGCGUCGGUUCUUUCCUGGAAUAUUCGUGUAUUUAAAAUGUCCUUUAGCUUUACGGUAAUGAGCUCUAUUAUUGUAUUUUUAUAGUCAUUAAUUCAUAGUUCGUCCCUGCGUAAGACCAUUAAUAAGCGUGUUUGAGAUACUAAGCUUGGCGGGGAAGCGAGCCUUGGCGCCAUUCCCGGGCCGACCUCCAUUCCGAGCAGACGCACGGCAAGACGCUCCUCACGAUGGCGCCAAAUAUUCACGAUUAUAACGCCGCAGCCCGGUUAUUAGGCAAUAGCACUACUUAAUUAAGUUGCCCUGACACAACAUGUAAGGGGCAGAAACAGAAGGUUACAGCACCCAAUACCUACCACGACAUGCUACCACACACAAUACUAGCACAGCCAUACCAAGAAAACAAGGUGGACAUUUUAGAACUAUUGUUAUGUAAAGAAGCAAUAAGACUGUGAAGUCAAGAAAGACCUGAUCAGAAGAAUGGGGAAGAAGAAAAGAAAACUGACCUCUUUUACAAUACACAGGUUACUGGACCCCUCCCUUUUACACAGACUACUACUACUACUACUACUACUACUACUACUACUACCAUAUUGCAGCUUUAAUCAAGAAACUUGAAACAUGCAUAAACAGAAGGAAGGAAAUUAAAUAUAUGCAAGAAUUUUGGAAGAAUCGCUUAAAAUCCGAGAAGAGACGGCAGCACUCAACCAGGCACAAGAAAAUCAAGAAGUGGAGGCUCCGAACUGCACUGAACUGAACUGUAAACUUUAUCAGAAGGGAGGAUAUUAAAUAUACUCAAGAAUUUUAGAAGAAUCGCUUAAAAAUCAGAGAAGAGAAGGCAGCACAACCAAGCACAAGAAGACCAUUUAGAGGGGCAAAGACAACCCUCCAAACAGAACUGGAAACAAACAGAAGGGAGGAAAUUAAAUAUACUCAAGACUUUUGGAAGAAUCGCUUAAAAUUCAGCCAGGCACAAGAAGACCAUUUAGAGGGGCAAAGGCAACCCUCCGAACAGAACUGGAAACAAACAGAACGGAGGAAAUUAAAUAUACUCAAGACUUUUGGAAGAAUCGCUUAAAAUUCAGCCAGGCACAAGAAGACCAUUUAGAGGGUCCGCUGCAAAGGCACUCCCUCCGAACUACACUGCACUGAACUGACCUGGUUACGGCGCCUGUACAAGUGACCCGGGAUGGAGUAUUGGCGGCAGGGCAGCUCUACGAAAGCUGCUGUGGGAGUGCUGCCCUCCACAGCAAGCAAGGGGCUGCCCUGCCCAGACCACAGCAAGAGGAGGAAGAGCUCUGCAUUACUAAGUUAAGUACCUCACUAUGACAUUCUGAGGGUUUGGCUUCAUUUUUGCCUUCUAUUAAAAACUUUUUACUUUCUAACGAACCUUAAUCUUUUCUCAGCCUGCCUCCUCCUCCUCCUCCUCCUUCAACUUCCUUUACCUCCUUGUGUGAAUCUGUCCGUCCCGAGAUCCGGCGAGACCAUCCCGACGUCGUAACACCCGUUUGGGAGUGGGGGGACUCAUGAAGCUGGGGGCGGCAGCCCUAAGGUGGGGAGGGUUGCGCCGACACCUCCACUCCGUUUCGGCGGAAUGUGGCUGGCUAGGGUGGCCUGAACCACUGUCUGGGUUGUUUGUCGUUCAGUCGGAUUGAGGAUCUGCCUCCCUUGAGGUGCACAUGUCAUAGUGGUGGCAGAAGAGAGUAUGAGUGAAGCUGAUGUCAUCCCGACGUCGUAACACCGUUGGGCGGGGCGGGGCUCUCAUGUCAAGUCUCCCCGCGGUGCACAUGUCACAGAGGUGCAAAUAGCAUGGCCUUCUUUCCUAUCUUUUCCACCUCCUCCUCCUCCACCCCCUCCCCCACACACACCUCCUGCUGUUAUAUCGUCACCCUCAUAAAGUAAUUGCCUAAGUCAUUUUUCAGUGAUUUCCAUUUUUGUUAAGUUGUCUUAGAUAUUCAGGGUUUGAGUGUUCUACAAUUGCCCUUUUUAUUUCUGCCUAAAUCUUAAGCCAAAUGAGAUGAUGACGUUCUCUUCUUGAAAAAUAGAAAAUAACGACUUGGGCGGUUUCUUUACGAAGGUGGCGAGAUUGUAAUAGGUUUUGCACCCUCUAUUUAGGGAUGUGCACUAAUUUUUGUCUCUUCUCUUCCCCUCCUCCUCCCCUGGCUGGCCGGGGAACGGAGGAGGAGCACUAGGACGAGGAGGUGAAGGGAGGCGCAGGGAGAGACGACUCAAGCACGUGGAGGCAAGAGACAAGAAGCAGAGACGCAGGAACAGAAAGGCAGCCAGAUGGUCGAUGCUGUGAAGAGGAGGAAGAUGACUGCAGGAGGCGGUGUGUGUGUGUUGGGGAAGGAGACGACGGCACCAACCUCACACACAGCGGGUUAAGGCCUGCAAGAGAGCCUAGUCAAUGAAGAGGAAAAGAAGACAAGAAUAAAGAAGAAAGAAAAAAGAAGAGGCAAAACAGGAGGAGGGGAUUUUUUUUCUGUCUAUACCUGAAGUGUGAUGAAUUUACUAAGGGUAUAUUUAAGCCUGAUAUAACGUACUUUAAGGUAUAUUUAAUGGUACAAGUGUGUAGCCUACUUUUGCCUGGAGUUGGAGACGGUAAAAUGCUCUCCGACUCCUUUAUUGUGGUGCUGUGUGGUUUGUUUACUGUGGUGCGAUGUGGGUCAUUUACUGUGGUGCGGUGUGGCUCGUUAACUGAGGUGAGGUAUGGUUCGUUUAUUGUGGUGCGGUAUGGUUCGUUUACUGUGGUGCGGUGUGGCUCGUUAAUUAAGGUGAGGUGUGGUUCAUUUAUUGUGGUGCGGUGUGGUUCGUUAAUUAAGGUGAGGUAUGGUUCGUUUAUUGUAGUGCGGUAUGGUUCGUUUACUGUGGUGCGGUGUGGCUCGUUAAUUAAGGUGAGGUGUGGUUCAUUUAUUGUGGUGCGGUGUGGCGUUGCGGGCUUUAACUUCCCUACCACUGCACCAGACAAGGGUAAGGGGCAGGGGGUGGAGUCAAAUUUUUUUAUAUCCGACUCCACACCCGUGUUAGAGUGUAAGAGUAUUGAUGGAAUAUAUUUAGGUGCUGGGGGAUACUGUGGCGCUCUUGUUGUAGCAACCCAUUCUGCUUCUGCAUAUUAACCCGUACUGCUAACAACGACCCGUACUGCUGCUACUGCUGCAUGACGCAUAGCAACUCGUGUUUUUUCCGCUGCCGUAACGACCCGUACUGCUAACGCAUAAUGACCUGUGCUGCUUCUGCUAUUGUAACAACUCUUACUGCAAUAACUUACUGCUGCUUCCAUUUAAAAACGUAUAAACGCAUAAACCCGCUGUGUUGCCAACUUGUCAACAACCCAACUAAUGAAUUUUCUGAUCAAAGAUCAAAGAGAGGAUUAGGCCUUCAGGGGACACCUCUUAAAUAAAAACGCGCCUGGGACUUUUACCUCAGAGGUGGUGUGGAAAAAAAGUCCAGUCACGAAAAUAAGUAUCUUAUACUCCAUGAAAGUGUCUCAGUCUUAUGAGAACACAAAGGUUGAGAGGGCUCAGACAUUCUGUUGUUUACUGCACACACUCCCAUGUUAGCAGUAAGGGUACUAAAUUCUGAUCUCUGUACAAAACAACCAAAUAAUAAGGAAAAGAAAGUUGAAUAAAAUGUUUGCCUGCAUUAUCCGUCAGCAGCGUAGACGUAACAAGGGUUGAAAAAAUGACUUAUUUAUUACAGCCGCUGGCCAACGCCUUGACCCCAGAGGCUUUGUGUUUGUCUCCGCGUCCUCCGCACUACACUGCACAGAAUCUGGCGAGCCUGGGUUGUGACAGCUAUUUCCCAAAGCCUCCAAGGAUACCAGUCAGGCUUAUGAGUGUUUUUCGUGUUGUUGGGGAAGCUCGCAAAUCUACACCUGGAAAUACUACUACCAACACAACCCAUAUGAAAGCCUUUCCUAAAACAUAAAACCUCUACCAGUGCCUUACCAGAAAGAACCAAAGCUUACCAAAUACCCAAAAAUCUCUACUAUUUGUGGUUGACUCAAGGUAUUGAAUUUUCACUUAUUUUUUUUACACGGAUGUUAGUGUCCCUUAUAUGUCUUGUUGGGUCUAUUAUUUGUUCUAUAUAUAAGGUAUUGAAUUUGCACUUAUUUUUUAUAAUGACGUUAGUGUCCCUCAUAUGUCGUGUCAUUGAGGGAGUGUUUGGGUCUAUUAUUUGUUCUAUAUAUAAGGUAUUGAAUUUCCACUGAUUUUGUAUACUUAUGUUACUGUCCCUCAUAUGUUGUGUCAUUGAGGGAGUGUUUGGGUCUAUCAUUUUUGUUUUGAUGCCCCUUUCAUGGAUCUAAAUAAUGACAUCCACCUUAAAAUAAAUGUAUGUGUCUGUGGUCAUCCCAAAGCUGAAGGUUGGUAUCUACUCCACUGUUUUUCAUGUUUUCUCGGACAGUUCAUAUUAUUAGCAAAUGUUUUUACCCGUCCGCUGUGAUUGGCAUGGAUUUCGCCUUCACUGGUAACCUGGUAACAUGUACUCCCAAAUCAUUCUUUGUCUCUGUGGUGGAUAGUGGAGUGUUUCCCAUGUGGUAUUGGUGUGCUGGAUAUCCCUUCACUGGUAGCCUGGUAACAUAUGUACUCCCAGAUCAUUCUCUGCCUCUGUGGUGGAUAGUGGAGUGCUUCCCAUGUGGUACUGGUGUGGUGGAUAUCCCCUCCCAAGGU